rnacentral:rRNA from 1 species
GAUGAACGCUGGCGGCGUGCCUAAUACAUGCAAGUCGAGCGAACGGGCGAGAAGCUUGCUUCUCUGAUGUUAGCGGCGGACGGGUGAGUAACACGUGGAUAACCUACCUAUAAGACUGGGAUAACUUCGGGAAACCGGAGCUAAUACCGGAUGAUAUUUUGAACCGCAUGGUUCAAAAGUGAAAGACGGUCUUGCUGUCACUUAUAGAUGGAUCCGCGCUGCAUUAGCUAGUUGGUAAGGUAACGGCUUACCAAGGCAACGAUGCAUAGCCGACCUGAGAGGUGAUCGGCCACACUGGAACUGAGACACGGUCCAGACUCCUACGGGAGGCAGCAGUAGGGAAUCUUCCGCAAUGGGCGAAAGCCUGACGGAGCAACGCCGCGUGAGUGAUGAAGGUCUUCGGAUCGUAAAACUCUGUUAUUAGGGAAGAACAUAUGUGUAAGUAACUGUGCACAUCUUGACGGUACCUAAUCAGAAAGCCACGGCUAACUACGUG